rnacentral:rRNA from 1 species
GACGUAGGGCGCGAGCGUUGUCCGGAGUUAUUGGGCGUAAAGAGCUCGUAGGCGGUUUGUCGCGUCUGCUGUGAAAACCUAAGGCUCAACCUUGGGCUUGCAGUGGGUACGGGCAGACUAGAGUGCGGUAGGGGUGACUGGAAUUCCUGGUGUAGCGGUGGAAUGCGCAGAUAUCAGGAGGAACACCGAUGGCGAAGGCAGGUCACUGGGCCGCAACUGACGCUGAGGAGCGAAAGCAUGGGGAGCGAACAGG